rnacentral:lncRNA from 1 species
CCUACUGGUGAAAUUAUGAUGGACAGUCAGUUAAUGACUGCCUGGGGUUAAGAGAAGAACAUAUAAAAACGGUCGCUGUUAGAAGGAACAUCAUUCUGCUCUCGUCACAAGAACAAGUCCCCGUGCAACUUGGGAAAACCAGCUUUCAACUCAUUCACAAUGAAGGUUGCUGUCCUCCUGUUGCUGUGCGCCGUCGUGGCCAUGAGCUCCGCUUUCAUUAACCCUUACAUAUACAAGUACGGCGGUCUUGGUCUGGGUGGUCUGGGUGGUCUCGGUGGCCUGGGAUUCGGCGGUCUUGGAUUUGGUGGACUGGGUGGACUGGGCUUUGGCGGUCUGGGACUCGGCCUCGGUAGGUUUGGUCUCCUGGGCGGCGGUCUGUACGGAGGCUUUCCUUUCCUUGGAGGCUUCAAGGGCGGCCUGUACUACUAAAUGGCUGUAAACCAUCAGAUUUGACCAUUGUGUCUUCUUCGUGAGUAAUCAGAUGUUGGUCCUUUUUGAAGAAGACAAUAAACUUUAAAAUAUA